UUCUCUCUCACACUUUCCCUUCCUUCUCUCGCUUUUUUCUUCUCUCUCGGCUGCUUGCAGGCAGGAGAGCGCCGGCAGCGAUCCAAAUGGCGUAGGCAGGAGGGCGCCGGAGGGCAGGGCACCGGGGUGCGCCAGGGUAGAGGGAGGGAGCUCCGGCACGGUUGGGGAUGCGACGAGAGCGGCUGUGCUCGGCGGGCGCGGCAACGAUAGGACCGCGGUGGCUUUGGGCCGGCGGCGCAGCUUGGUUCGGCUUCGGCGAUGGCGUGGUGCGAGCUCGACGCACGCGUGGCGUCCAGGAGCCAGAAGGAGGAUGGGGGCGGCGUCGGGCGGCUCGGCGGCGCUCGGGAAGGAAGGGCGUGACGUUGGCGGGCAGAUAGAAGACCUCCUUCCCCACGCCACUUCUUCGAUCUAGAAGUGGCGCGGUGAUGAACGACGCGGUGAUGAAUGACGGACGAAGAAGUGACGGACGAAAAAUCACGUGGGUGAAAAAGAUGUGACGAAAAAUCACGCGGGUGAAAAGAUGCGACGACCGGAAAAAUAUAUUACUAGCAAAAAGUGUCCGUGGGUUGCAACGGAAAGUGUACAGACUAGAAAAUUAAGAAAAAUUUAAGAAAAAUUUACAUUA